UAGCCGUAAACGAUACUCGCUAGGUGUCGGCCACGGUGCGACCGUUGUCGGUGCCGUAGGGAAGCCGCGAAGCGAGCCACCUGGGAAGUACGGCCGCAAGGCUGAAACUUAAAGGAAUUGGCGGGGGAGCACAACAACGGGUGGAGCUUGCGGUUUAAUUGGAUUCAACGCCGGAAAUCUUACCGGGACCGACAGCAACAUGAAGGCCAAGCUGAAGACUUUGCCGGAUUAGCUGAGAGGAGGUGCAUGGCGUAGACGUGU
rnacentral:rRNA from 1 species